GGGCUUGACAUCCCACGAACCUGCCUGAAAGGGCGGGGUGCCCGCAAGGGAGCGUGGAGACAGGUGGUGCAUGGCUGUCGUCAGCUCGUGUCGUGAGAUGUUGGGUUAAGUCCCGCAACGAGCGCAACCCUCACCCCUAGUUGCCACCGGGUAAAGCCGAGCACUCGAGGGGAACUGCCAGCGUCAAGCUGGAGGAAGGCGGGGAUGACGUCAAGUCAUCAUGCCCCUUACGCCCUGGGCUACACACGUGCUACAAUGGCCAGUACAAAGGGACGCGAGACCGCGAGGUGGAGCAAAUCCCAAAAAGCUGGUCUAAGUUCAGAUUGCAGUCUGCAACUCGACUGCAUGAAGGAGGAAUCGCUAGUAAUCGCGCAUCAGCACGGCGCGGUGAAUACGUUCCCGGGCCUUGUACACACCGCCCGUCACACCACGAAAGCUGUCUGUACUCGAAGUCGCUGAGA
rnacentral:rRNA from 1 species